AUUGAACGCUGGCGGCAGGCCUAACACAUGCAAGUCGAACGAGUGGCGGACGGGUGAGUAAUGUCUGGGAAACUGCCUGAUGGAGGGGGAUAACUACUGGAAACGGUAGCUAAUACCGCAUACCAUCGGAUGUGCCCAGAUGGGAUUAGCUAGUAGGUGGGGUAAAGGCUCACCUAGGCGACGAUCCCUAGCUGGUCUGAGAGGAUGACCAGCCAAACUGGAACUGAGAAAAGGGCCAGACUCCCACGGGGGGGAGCAGGGGGGAAUAUUGGAAAAUGGGGGGAAGGCUGAUGGAGCCAAGGCGGGGGGAUGAAGAAGGCCUUCGGGUUGUAAAGUACUUUCAGCGGGGAGGCGUUACCCGCAGAAGAAGCACCGGCUAACUCCGUGCCAGCAGCCGCGGUAAUUC
rnacentral:rRNA from 1 species